AUAGAGUGAUUCAAAACCUUAAUAUCUAAUUCUUCCUUUUCAGCCUCUGAGUUUACGUAUUUACCUACUGUAAGGUCGUAGUUAGAUUCCCUAAUUUUG
rnacentral:sRNA from 1 species